rnacentral:rRNA from 1 species
CCUACGUGAGGCAGCAGUGGGGAAUAUUGCGCAAUGGGCGAAAGCCUGACGCAGCGACGCCGCGUGAGGGAUGAAGGUCUUUGGAUCGUAAACCUCUGUCAGCAGGGAAGAACGGUCACUGUGCUAAUCAGCAGUGAAUUGACGGUACCUGCAAAGGAAGCACCGGCUAACUCCGUGCCAGCAGCCGCGGUAAUACGGAGGGUGCGAGCGUUAAUCGGAAUUACUGGGCGUAAAGCGCUCGUAGGCGGUAUGUCAAGUCAAGGGUGAAAUCCCCGCGCUCAACGUGGGAACUGCCUUUGAAACUGGCAAACUGGAGUGUGUGAGAGGAUAGUGGAAUUCCAGGGGUAGGAGUGAAAUCCGUAGAUAUCUGGAGGAACAUCAGUGGCGAAGGCGACUAUCUGGCACAUAACUGACGCUGAGGAGCGAAAGCGUGGGUAGCAAACAGGAUUAGAUACCCUGGUAGUC